CGGAGAUGAUGCAUGUGCCGGUGCUCGGUCUGGUGGAGAAUUUCAGCUACCUGAAAUGUCCGGACUGCGGAAAAGAGAUCAAGCUGUUUGGCGAGAGUCAUAUCGACGAUGUCGCAAAAGAGCUCGGGAUCCCGGUAUUCGGAAAGCUUCCGCUUGAUCCGGCGUUUGCGGAGCAGGCAGACAAGGGAGCGUUU
rnacentral:misc_RNA from 1 species